rnacentral:rRNA from 1 species
CAAUAGCGUAUAUUAAAGUUGUUGCGGUUAAAAAGCUCGUAGUUGGAUUUCUGUCGAGGACGACCGGUCCGCCCUCUGGGUGAUGCAUCUGGCUCGGCCUUGGCAUCUUCUUGGGGAACGUUACUGCACUUGACUGUGUGGUGCGGUAUCCAGGACUUUUACUUUGAGGAAAUUAGAGUGUUUCAAGCAGGCGCACGCCUUGAAUACAUUAGCAUGGAAUAAUAAGAUAGGACCUUGGUUCUAUUUUGUUGGUUUCUAGAGCUGAGGUAAUGAUUAAUAGGGAUAGUUGGGGGCAUUCGUAUUUAACUGUCAGAGGUGAAAUUCUUGGAUUUGUUGAAGACGGACUACUGCGAAAGCAUUUGCCAAGGAUGUUUUCAUUGA